UGGGGAAUAUUGCGCAAUGGGCGAAAGCCUGACGCAGCGACGCCGCGUGAGGGAUGAAGGUUCUCGGAUCGUAAACCUCUGUCAGGGGGGAAGAAACCCCCUCGUGUGAAUAAUGCGAGGGCUUGACGGUACCCCCAAAGGAGCACCGGCUAACUCCGUGCCAGCAGCCGCGGUAAUACGGAGGGUGCAAGCGUUAAUCGGAAUCACUGGGCGUAAAGCGCACGUAGGCGGCUUGGUAAGUCAGGGGUGAAACCCCACAGCCCAACUGUGGAACUGCCUUUGAUACUGCCAGGCUUGAGUACCGGAGAGGGUGGCGGAAUUCCAGGUGUAGGAGUGAAAUCCGUAG
rnacentral:rRNA from 1 species